GAUGAAUGCUGGCGGCGUGCCUAACACAUGCAAGUCGAGCGGCAGCGCAGAUAGUUUACUAUCUGGCGGCGAGCGGCGGACGGCUGAGUAACGCGUGGGAACGUACCCCAAAGUGAGGAAUAACCGCCCGAAAGGGUGGCUAAUGCCGCAUAUGAUCUUCGGAUUAAAGGAUUUAUCCGCUUUGGGAACGGCCUGCGUACGAUUAGAUAGUUGGUGGGGUAAAGGCCUACCAAGUCUACGAUCGUUAACUGGUCUGAGAGGAUGAUCAGUCAGACUGGAACUGAGACACGGUCCAGACUCCUACGGGUGGCAG
rnacentral:rRNA from 1 species